rnacentral:rRNA from 1 species
CGUGCAGUNUCAGUACAGACUAUAUUAAAGUGAAACCGCAAAAGGCUCAGUAAACCAGUUUUAAUUUACUAGAGUUAACUUGACUGUGUUUGGAUAACUGUGGUAAUUCUAGAGCUAAUACAUGCAACCAAGCCGUGACCAUUCGUGGUCAGGGCGCUUUUAUUAGACCAAGACCAAUCGCCCGGCCAGUCCGGGCGUUCAGUUGAGGAACCUAGAUAACACAGCAGAUCGCAUGGUCCUCGUACCGGCGACCUAUCUUUCAAAUGCCUGACUUAUCAACUGACGAUGGUAGACUCUGUGUCUACCAUGGCUGUUACGGGUAACGGGGAAUCAGGGUUCGAUUCCGGAGAGGGAGCCUGAGAAACGGCUACCACAUCCAAGGAAGGCAGCAGGCACGCAAAUUACCCACUCCCGGAACGGGGAGGUAGUGACAAAAAAUAACGAUACGGGACUCGAUAUGAGGCCUCGUAAUCGGAAUGAGUACACUCUAAAUCCUUUAACAAAAAUCUAUUGGAGGGCAAGUCUGGUGCCAGCAGCCGCGGUAAUUCCAGCUCCAAUAGCGUAUAUUAAAGUUGUUGCGGUUAAAAAGCUCGUAGUUGGUUCUGCGUCCCGCGCUGUCGGUACACCGUUUGUCGGUGACACUGGCAUGACGCGGGAUGUCCUGUCGGUGGCGGCGGAAACCAUAUCGCCCUCGGGUAACACCGCGGCGUGUUGGCCUUCUGUCGCCGGCUAUAUCCUACCGCGGUGCUCUUCACUGAGUGUCGAGGUAGGCCGACACGUUUACUUUGAACAAAUUAGAGUGCUUAAAGCAGGCAAAAAUCUCUGCCAGAAUAGUGGUGCAUGGAAUAAUGGAACAGGACCUUGGUUCUAUUCUGUUGGUCUCCGGAACACAAGGUAAUGAUCAAUGUGGACAGGCGGGGGCAUUCGUAUUGCGGCGUUAGAGGUGAAAUUCUUGGAUCGUCGCAGGACGCACUAGAGCGAAAGCAAUUGCCNAGUAUGUCUUGAGCUUUCCCCGGGAAACCAAAGCUUUUGGGUUCCGGGGGAAGUAUGGUUGCAAAGCUGAAACUUAAAGGAAUUGACGGAAGGGCACCACCAGAAGUGGAGCCUGCGGCUUAAUUUGACUCAACACGGGAAACCUCACCAGGUCAGGACAUUGGAAUGAUUGACAGAUUGAUAGCUCUUUCUUGAUUCAGUGGGUAGUGGUGCAUGGCCGUUCUUAGUUGGUGGAUCGAUUUGUCUGGUUAAUUCCGAUAACGAACGAGACUCUAGCCUAUUAACUAGACGCGUUUGGUAUCGAAUCUACCGGCGAACUAUAUUCUUCUUAAGGGGACAGGCGGCUUUUAGCCGCACGAGAUUGAGCAAUAACAGGUCUGUGAUGCCCUUAGAUGUCCUGGGCCGCACGCGCGCUACACUGAAGGAAUCAGCGUGUGCGUUCCCUUGGCCGAAAGGUCCGGGUAACCCGCUGAACCUCCUUCGUGCUAGGAAUUGGGGCUUGCAAUUGUUCCCCAUGAACGAGGAAUUCCCAGUAAGCGCGAGUCAUAAGCUCGCGUUGAUUACGUCCCUGCCCUUUGUACACACCGCCCGUCGCUACUACCGAUUGAAUGAUUUAGUGAGGUCUUCGGACUGGCGGUAAGCCCAACCGACUCGUCGGUUUUGUCGAACGCUGGAAAGAUGACCAAACUUGAUCAUUUAGAGGAAGUAAAAGUCGUAACAAGGUUUCCGUA